CAGCCGCCGCGGUAAUACAGAGGGUGCGAGCGUUAAUCGGAUUUACUGGGCGUAAAGCGUGCGUAGGCGGCUUCUUAAGUCGGAUGUGAAAUCCCUGAGCUUAACUUAGGAAUUGCAUUCGAUACUGGGAGGCUAGAGUAUGGGAGAGGAUGGUAGAAUUCCAGGUGUAGCGGUGAAAUGCGUAGAGAUCUGGAGGAAUACCGAUGGCGAAGGCAGCCAUCUGGCCUAAUACUGACGCUGAGGUACGAAAGCAUGGGGAGCAAACAGGAUUAGAUACCCCUGUAGUCCCUGUCUCUUAUAC
rnacentral:rRNA from 1 species